rnacentral:rRNA from 1 species
UACGUAGGGUGCAAGCGUUGUCCGGAAUUAUUGGGCGUAAAGAGCUCGUAGGCGGUUUGUCGCGUCUGCCGUGAAAGUCCGGGGCUCAACUCCGGAUCUGCGGUGGGUACGGGCAGACUAGAGUGAUGUAGGGGAGACUGGAAUUCCUGGUGUAGCGGUGAAAUGCGCAGAUAUCAGGAGGAACACCGGUGCGGAAGGCAGGUCUCUGGGCAUUAACUGACGCUGAGGAGCGAAAGCAUGGGGAGCGAACAGG